GAACUCUGUGGGCACAGCGGCCCCAGCCUGAGCUCCAUCCCCCCACUCACACCCUUCAGGCAGCCAUCCCCCGUUUCCACAGAAGAGGAAGCAGAGCCUGAGUGUGAAGGCCCCAACCAGUUGCCAGACUGUGCAGACCACCAGAGGAUGCCUCGACAAUGCCUGUGGAGGCUUUGCCGACAUGGGUAGAGAUUUCAGCCCAGAACUGAGGGGUGAGGAGAUGGCCAGGGACCCGGACUCUGGUCUGGGGACAGUGCUAUCAUUUCCUUUAUGUAAGUGGGAAGCGGACUCUGGGAUUAUAACUCGGGUCUGUGAGAUCAUCAUUGUUGCUUCCUGGCAAGUGAGACCCCAGUAAGGCAGACGCUCGAGGGAGAAGCAACGGGGCUACUCACAGGAUCCCAAGGCCGGGGCAGGCGGCCGUUGAGGUGCUGGAACUGGUGCAGUGCACGGAAGGCCUGAUGCAGGCAGCGGGCACGGAGAAGCGAAAGUGAAAGUGAAACUGGACUGAGCCAGCUCCUGGUCCUGCCUCCAGACAGGCGUGGCUGCUGUGGGGCACAGGCAAAGUGGGGCAGAACUCUUGGCUCUUUGGCCUCUGGGAGAGCAGCAAUUUUCCAAUGCCAACUGCACAUCCUGCAAUUCAACUCAAUUCUGAGACCAUCUACCUGGAGACAACCUCAGAUCCACUUCCUGCUCUGGCACCAAUCAGCUGCUUUUGCAACUGGAGCUGCUAUCCCCACAACCAUGAGGAAUAGGGGAUGGUGGCUGAUUCAAGCCUGGCUCUUCCUCCAUCAAGUACUUUCCUAGUUGUCUAAUCAGAGCUUCUUGGCACGGCCAUGAUGGAUGCUGGAGGGCUGGGAUGGAGGCGUGUCGACAUCAAAGGUGGCAUUGAGGUCAAUGUCAUCACCGAAGGCCGGUCGGUGAAGCUUCAGGCUCAGCAUCUCUAUGGGGGCUGGGCUAUAGGCAGAGUUGGCCUGGUUACUCUGGACCACCAUGGCAGUCCAGAAGGACAACAGUCCCUGAAGCAUCAGAGAUGGCUUGGUUCCAGGGGUCUGGAGCCCACACCUGGCUCAGGGCCACCCUUCAAGGAAGCCUGAAUCUCUACAGAAAAAAACCACUUGGCUUAGUGCUUCAGUCAUGGGACCAGUGAAAGUCUUCAAGACAUGGAAGGAAGCAAGCAAAACACACACAAAACCCAAGUGUACAAACAAAAGGUUGCUUUUUGACCAAACAGCUUCAUUUCUCAGAAUGCAGUGCAAGGGGCAGAGAUGUGACCACAGAUUGAUAUAGAUGGCAAAUGGCACAAUAUUGGAAAUGGUCAAAUGACUCCCCAGGGGGCUGGCACUUUCACAGCCUAAAUAUGAUGCAGACAUUAAAGUAGUGUUUCUGGAGAGUAAACUUAAUAACAUGGGGAAAUGUUCAUAUACUACAUUUAAAAAGUAAUACAAAACUCUGUAUACUAGGCGAUAAAAGAAAAAGCAGACAAGUUGGACUUCAAAGAAAUUUAAAAUUGUGUGCAUCAAAAGAUACAAUCGGGGCACGCAGGUGGCUCAGUCAGUUGAGCAUCUGACUCUUGGUUUUGGCUUGGGUCAUGAUCUUGGGAUUGUGGGAUC